AAAUGUAUUAUUAUUAUUAUUAAGACCGGAAACAUAGCAACUCCGGUAAACAAACCCCGAGAAGCCCAAUCCCUAUGAGAGCUCCCCGCGCUACGGCCGUCCGGCGGUGCACAGAGCUUUUGCCCGUGAUAUUAUAUAUACAAAUAUUAUAUUACGAUACUAUUAUAUAGAGCUCCGGGAGUCGCAAACGGCAACAUUCACUUUCUCCUCCAUGCUGCAGUUCACCCCGGACUGAACUGCACUGAGUUUGACGGUUGAACGCUGAUUGGCUGUUACGUUACACAUGUGACUCAGUGGCCACGCUGUUGAACGCAUGUUAACCAUUGCAACGCCGGUAAACAAACCCCUCGAAGAGAGCUCCCAGCCCUACGGCCAUCCGUAGGCUCACUCAGCUUUUGGCCAUGAUAUUAUCUAUAAAAUUAUAUUAUAUUAAUUCGCCCGAUUCGCGUCUCUACGUUGACGCGUGAACGCACAGUAAAACCGAAAAAACCGUGUCUUUGGCGAUCCCGAGAUCGCGUUGUCUGAAAUCGCGAUUUCGAUCAGAAAACGAUAAAUCGUUCAGCCCUAGUCAGUUGCACUUCACAAAGCUGAGAAACUACUGCUUAACAAACGAGUCCUGAAGGAUGUAGCAAAACUCAGCCAUCAUCACCAGACGUCAUCGCUGGAGUCAUUCCACAGUCUGAUACUGCGUUUUGCUCCAAAGAAUGUGGUUUUUCCCUUCAUGGGAAUGUUGUGCAGGUUGUAUCUUGCAUCAAUGCACCACAACGAAAAUGCUUCACGGGUGCAAGCUACGACUUCUGCAGGGCAGGCUGUUUAUAAAGUUGUCUAUCCAAAGGCGAAGAUGGGGGAAGGUGUUGUGAAGCCCGUGAAAACAGAUCCAACAUUCAACUAUGUACAUGACCUCAUGAGGCUGCUCAUGGAGGUUUUUGAGGACCCAACAUCAUUUGACGAGGAAAUGAAGACUAUCCCCAUCCCUCCAGACCUUUCAGCAGAAAAUACACGCACUCCGAAGGCUGAGCUGGUUGCCCGUCACGUCUCCCGCUUCAAUCUAGAGGUGGUCUGAAGCCUACGUAGUCACCAGAUGGGAACUGCUGCCGUAUCCGCUGCACCACACAUGACGGGAGGACGACCCGACAACUAUGUCCUAAAUAUCCCCAGCACCAGCUUACAAAGCUGCGAUAGGCAAGAUGCCUGAAACGCCUAAAGGAUAAAGAGCAGAACUUUCAGACCACCUGUUUUCAACAAUAACCUCUUAUAGGCUGGGCCUACACUGGGCCUUACUGUGCACCCCCCACCUCCCAACGAAACCAACAAUUUUUUAAUGGUCUGACCAUGCUGAACAUAAAAAAAUAGUUGGCUUCGUUGGGAGGUGGGGGUGCACAGUAAGACCCCGUUGCUCGCGGCCUAAUAGUUUUAUUCUGUUUUUCUUCUAAUGGUAAAUUGAUUCACAUAAUAUUAAUAGUAUAAUAUUGCUUUGGUUUUGUUUAGUAGGAGCUUAGACAAAAUUACUUACUCUUCAUCUGUUGUGUGCCUCACAGGUCCAUAAUCAUACUUGUAAAUAUUGUAAAUAUUUUGUAGACUGUAUAUGUUUAGACACACAGGCUCCAGGCCUGGAUGUUGUGUCAUACAGGUAAUUGAUUCUGGCACUUGGCUCAUUCGUCGUAGUACCUAAUAAAUACAAUAAGACAAAAUAACUUCUGUGUAAAGUGACCUUGACCUCAGAGUACAACAUGACUGCAUAGGACAAUACAGAUUCAAGAAGCAACAU